rnacentral:lncRNA from 1 species
GCUUUUCUCAUUCUACCUUUCAAAUCUUUCCUUUGCUUAUUGAACUUUAUUUUCAAAGAGUUUCAAAUCUUUUCUUGAGCAAUUUAAUGUGUAGAUCGAGUCAUUUUGCUCCACAUGGAUCAUGACAUUUGGAGCUAGAUUCUCUGCAUGAGAGAAGAUUUCAUGCUGAAUUUGAGCUGGUGAUAUUUUAAGGAAUUUGGUGGAGCAUGAGGACCAU